GGGGCGGGAGACGGGGCUGGGGUGGGGGGAGAGACCCUCGACGGCCGGGCCGGCAAGAAAUACAGAUGCAAAAGCAAGACACGGGUAAAUGACAGAAGUGUUGUUCCUGCAAGCAGAGCAUCCUGUCUCCAAGACAGAAAUUGCUUUAAGCACAAGCCAAGACAGAAGGCUCGACUGGUCCUCUCUGUUGAAACUGGGCACCUGUACCAUCCACUGAAAAGGUCAGUCAUAGAAAUCAUAGAAUCAUAGAAUAUCCGAGUUAGAAGGGAUCCACAAGGAUCCUUUUGAAAUACUAGGAUCUUCAGGAGCUACAACAGAAAAUGCAUAAAUUAACAAAACAUUACAGAAAAGAGAGGGGUCUAAAACAAACCUCAGUGUGUUAAGAUGCUUAACAUCCAUCUAAAUUCAAUGACAAAGUGGGCUUACUUUCUUGAGGCUCUUUUUGAGUGAUCUGAGGCUUAGGAGUGGGGCUUGUUUGUGUUUGUGCUGUAAAAUGUGUAUUUGGAGGAGAGCAGUUUUUCUUCGAGUCAUUUAAUAAUCCAUAAUAAUAUACAACAUAGAGGAAAAGAAUGGCUACAAUUUUGUUAGUCUGCAGUUUUCUGAAUGACCACAUUAUAAACGAAUGGCAGGAAACAAUCAUAUGCCACCCAUUCAGUAGAUCAUUUGCUAUUUUAUCUUGUCUGAAGCUGAAUUUAAACUGACCUGAAGAGAAGCAGUUAUGUGUCUUGAAAUCUGGCGAACAGUAGAUUAUUGUUGCCAAUGUAGAUUAUUUGGUGAAAUCUACAGGCACCACUUUAAUUCAAUGCUAUUGAAAAGUUUCAGUGUCUGGGAGAGUAAAUUGAGACUCCCUGUUGUAAAUAAACUUGGAGAAGUUAUAAACAGCAGCCAGGGAAGAAAAAAAAUAGUCAUAGUGAAUAGCAGGAGAACGGACAAAAAAUUAAAUCUGGAAAAAAUGAAACAUAUGCAGAAGAAAAAGGGACGUGCAUUCAUCAGGUGGAAGACAUGGAAGGCAAUGCAGUACUGAAAGAAAUCACAAGUAUAGCAUGAGGGAUAGCAGUGUCACACAUCAAGAAAACAAAGCUCUUUCGAGCUGUUAUACAAAGGUCAUCACUCCAGAACAGAUAUGAUGGUGUACUUUGGAACCGGGGGAAAUUUGGCUUGAAGGAAUGUCAAAAACUAACCAAAUCCUUUCCUGUUUCUCUAUGUGGGAACUACUGUAUCUAACUUAUUCCCAAAUUCUUCAAUAAUAGUCUUCUUCAAAAAUGCAAAAUUCUACAGGUCAUCUUAUUAUGUUUCAGUGCACGCAACAAAGCAGCCUCAGACUCACAAAAUUUCAGACAAAACUAAAUCAGAAUGUGUUCCAGGAGUGCAUCUAAUGAACUCUAACCAGUACAGACAUCCAGUUUGUUGGAUCAACCUAGAACUAUUCCAAAAUAAAGUUCUUACAUCACACAUAAUCAUGGAUAUUAAGCCCUUGGUACCAACCUUUUUGCUCUACAUCUCCUGUUUUGCAUUCACUCCACACUCUUAUUAGGCCACUCUACUUGCUAACAUAGCUACAGCUGCUGUCAAACAUUCACUUGAAGAACAGCAAAAGCUGUGAUGGCCUGGAGGACCUGGUUUAUUGGGAAAAAGCAGGCCAGACACACUAAAAGGGCAAAAGGAUUUGUAUAGCAUCAUUUUCCUUGGUCCCUUUGACAUUAAACAGUUAUGCUCAUGCAGCUGUGCAGCCCUUUCUUUUAUAUCAGACCAGUGGCACCCCAGGCUGGUCAGCUCAAGGACACAAAAGUGAAUUGCAAUAGCUAACAAUUGCAUAGACUUUCAGAAUGUAAGAUUUUAAUUUGGUAUCUCAGAACAUAACCAAGAAU